GGUUUGGACGCAAAGUCUCUACCUCCAAUCUAAGAGAACCAUGACAUAUCGACAUUAUAGAAAAGAAUAAUUGACUUGAUCGUUGAAAUAUUGUUAUUCAUUCAUAAAGCUAUGCUAGCAAUUUGGCAAGCUCGUCUACUCCUAAGCUUCCUUUUGGUACUACAUUCAGAUAAUCUUUUCGAAUACCCUUCUUCUUCUCCUUUCUCGUACUCGUUGUUGAAUUGACCUUUCUACUCGAAACAACAGUUUCUUUUCUCGAAGAAGCUGGAGUAUCUAAUUUGGUGCAUCCUACCUCCAAAUCACCAAUUUCCUCUUCCCCGCGUCUUUGAACUGAUACUUUCUUAGGUUGAUGCUGAAAAACUGGUCCAGGUGGGACAGAUGUAGAGAGAGCAACAGCCCUUUGAUAGACAAUGUCAGCAUCGAUACUAGAAUCAUUUAAU
rnacentral:misc_RNA from 1 species